GGCACGAUAGCUCAGUUGGUUACAGAGCACCUCAGCAUGUAACGGGGAGGUCCUGGGUUCGAAUCCCAGUCGAGCCA